rnacentral:rRNA from 1 species
UACGUAGGAUGCAAGCGUUAAUCGGAAUUACUGGGCGUAAAGCGUGCGCAGGCGGUUGUGCAAGACAGAUGUGAAAUCCCCGGGCUUAACCUGGGAACUGCAUUUGUGACUGCACGGCUAGAGUGUGUCAGAGGGGGGGUAGAAUUCCACGUGUAGCAGUGAAAUGCGUAGAUAUGUGGAGGAAUACCGGUGGCGAAGGCGGCCUCCUGGCUUAAUACUGACGCUGAGGUGCGAAAGCGUGGGGGAGCAAACAGG